UACGUAGGAGGCGAGCGUUGUCCGGAUUUACUGGGCGUAAAGGGCGCGCAGGCGGCCUUGCAAGUAGCGUGUGAAAUCCACCUGCUCAACGGGUGGGGUGCAUGGUAGACUGCAGGGCUAGAGGACGGUAGAGGGGGGUGGAAUUGCUGGUGUAGCGGUGAAAUGCGUAGAGAUCAGCAGGAACACCCGUGGCGAAGGCGGCCCCCUGGGCCGUACCUGACGCUGAGGCGCGAAGGCUAGGGGAGCAAACAGG
rnacentral:rRNA from 1 species